GUUCGUACCAGGUGGAUCCAGAGACUCCGCUCAGAUAAAGGAUGCAGUCCAGAAGACCCGCUUUAUCCAGCUCUACCAGGGAUCCCAGCAAACCCACCAUGGCUCUUUGUCCUCCUCCAGAACCCAAUAAUGCAAUGCGGAAGAUCUUUUAUAGGACCGUGGAUCCUCAUGGGGGCUGAAGAUGAUGUACAUGAAUGACAAACAGAAAACUGAUAACUGGAUGAGAGGAGGAGUGAAAACUCAUGUGGAGACUUGCUGUUAAUUGUUAAACAGAUCUACAGCAUUUCUCUCAACCAGUCUUUCCAGGAAUUUCAUUAAAAUACCACACUUUGUCUCACUUACACUUUUACUUCAUGAUUGUGUUACUUUCUCUUAGCUCGCUUUGUCUGAUAAAUGCAGUGAAGCUUUCUGACAAAUUAAAAGGAAAGUCAAGACCAGAUAAAACCUGUGCGCUUUUAUUAGUCUAAUUUGGAAAUAUUUGAAUUGGGGAAAAUUAUUCUGCUUAGCCAAAAAAAUAAAAGGUAUUAUAAAAUGUAUUAAAUUUAUGUUAGUGAACACAUACUAACUUGAAUUCACUGUAAA